ensembl:lncRNA
CCUCAACAGCCCGCCUCAGAGGCCUUGCCACAAUCUCUUCAUUUACUUCUCCCUCAGCCAAACUGAUAAAGGGCUCCACAAUGCUGCCAUCCCAGGGGCCCCAGAAGUUACGUUCAUUCUCUGAUUGGCUGUCAGGAGUCAAUAAUGCUGGGCAAACAGUGAAAGACUGAAUGUCUGGUAAUGACACAGCAGGUGGUCAUGGAAGAGGUACCUCGGGGUGGACAGAAGGACAACCCUAAGACUGGAAUGCAUGUUUGGUCUAUUUAGGAUAAGCAGGUCCAAAGACAUCAAGUCACUUGUCCAAGCCUUCUGGUUAGCAGAUGGGAAGACCUGGGUAUGAAUUCAGGACAGUCAAGGCACAGAGCCUGUCCCUUCUCACAGGCUGCCCUGACACAGCAUGCUUGUUUCCUCCUGACUUGUACAGGACAGCGUUGUAUGUGAGUGAUGGCUACACACCCUGAGAAAACAGCAACAUACACAUCUGUAUAUUUCCAGUUUCCUUGGAUCUCUAACUGAUCAUGGUCAGAGGAAAUGUCUAUAGUAGACCCUGUCUCCAAGCUAUACCUACGUCCUAAUCUCAGAAGCCUGUAAAGGUGGUCUUAUUUAGAAAAUGUCUUCGUAGGUAGGAUUAAAUUCAGGAUGUCUGAAUGAAGAAAUCAUCCCAGAUUAUGGGAUUGGCCCUUGGAUGCUAUGGUGUAGUCAUAGGAAAUAUGUACUGUACACGAAGUGACUGUAGAGGCGGAGCCUGGAAGGUUCAGCUGUUCAUCAAAGAGUGUCAAGGAACAGUAGCAGAAGUUAGAAAUUGAAAGAGGCAAGAAUUGAACCCUCAUCUAGAGACUUCGAGGGUGACCCUACUGCCACCUUGGUCCUGUAUUUCUGUUUUUCAGAAGCAAAGAGGAACAUAUUUCUGUUGUUUAACAGUACUAAGUUUGUGGUCAUUUGUUAGUCGCCACAAUAAACUCACACAGUGCUCAACUGGCACACACAGGCCUCAAACUGGAAGGCCUUUACAAACCAGUUGGCCCUGCUCUUUCAUUUUAUAGAUGAAAAGUCCACAGCCCAAAAGAGGAAGUGAUUAGGCAGAGGUCACUCAGCAAAGGAGAGGCAGAGCCAAAGCUAGCAUACAGGUUGACUCAGGCCUAGUGGUUCUGAUCCUCCCCACAUUGGGUCAGAACUAGGUCAUAUUUUCUUAUUAUUAAGAGAUGGUUGACUUGAGCAAAUGAAGCUUCAGGAAGUAUUUUUGUCAUCAUCAUUACUAAGCUGAACACUAGACACAUUCCCCAACUGUAGGCCAGUCCCUCCAGCUCAGAGGAAGGCUCACUUAUUGGGUUCGAGAAAGAGAAAAAGCAGUGUGAGGGGCGAAGCAACCACUGUCCUCACACCACCAGCCUGUGGCUGAACUCAAAACUGGCCACAAGAAUGUUACUUCCUGAUUAUUUAUUGUGUUCUAUUUUUAUAUUUCCUCUUUCUCAAAGCUGGAUCCCUAAGUAGGAGAGAUGGGCCUUAGGUAUGUGGGGAACAUACCUAACAUGUUUCCUGUGGAUGCAUGCAUUCAAUAUGGUCUGCCAAAACAUUUCUGGAUACCACUGUGCUACAAGUCCAUCAUCUUGGAAUUAUGUAUGGGAAAGACAAGGAGACCAGUUCCCCACCUCCAGGCAGCAAAAGAAGUGAUGGUUUAGUUUACAUAUUUCCCUCCUUCUUCCUUCAAGUGUCUGUGCUAAUAUCCAGGGGCUUCCCUACUAGACACAAGCUAGUCCCUGCUUUGGGGGAAGCAAUGCAGACAACUAGACACAAGCUAGUCUUUGCUUUGGGGGAAGGACAAAUAUCUUGACUAUUGUGUUUAAACAGAAGGAGGCAUAGAACAGAAAGCUGUCCUAGGAGCUCUCAGAUGGCAGAAACAGAUUGCCCCAUCUCUGUCCCCAUACAUCUCCCUCUCCAGCACAUCUCCCACUAACCAUCCACCCUGGAAUGAGGAGGAAGGAAUUGCUAAUGAGGAAGAAAGAGAAGUUGGUUACUGAUGUGUCUCUGUGACCUUCCGCCUUGCACCAUGGCCCCAAGCCUGAGCUCUGGUAUAAGAGAGGAGAUUACCAGUGACAUCUAAACAGUUUGGAAAUUCCAGUCAAGAAGCUGCAACACUGCCUGUCCUCUCUAAGCUAACAGUGGUCCACAGUCUCCCUAUGACCCAUUGCCCCUCUAACUACAAGAGUCUAAAGGCUUCAUAGGCAUUAUGGGAGCAUGGAACUCCAAGAGACUCCAGGAAGCUACAGAUUGGCCAAUCCACUCUGCAGCCACAAGAAGGGCAAAGCAGGGCUGAGAAGCCCCGAAGUCCUACUGAAGGAACUGAGCAGCAGCGACAAGAAAGUACAGAGUGAACUCCAGAGCCCUUGGAACGAGCAAGGAUAAAAGGUCCCACUGACCAGGUGGGAUGAAUUCUAUUUUGGUUCACAGAAUCACUUUUUCACUUGGAGGAACAAGGCCGACACAGCCGCACAGCGGACCAACACCAAAAUCACAGGUCUCCUCCCUGCCCCAGGAGCUAUGUUGCCACUCAGAGGAGAAAAAGGAAGACAAAGGGAAAAUCUGAAAUACCAUCGAAUUGAACUGAGCUUUCCUGGAAGUAACUAUAGGUUUUGUUUGUUUGUUUUGUUUUCUUUGCAUCAAUCAGAUUGUGGACUUAUGGUCUCCAAUUGAGCUCUAUAAUAAAACAAUACAGUUUCUCUUCUCG